rnacentral:rRNA from 1 species
GACGAACGCUGGCGGCGUGCCUAAUACAUGCAAGUCGAGCGGACUUAUUUGAGUAGCUUGCUAUUUGGAUAAGUUAGCGGCGGACGGGUGAGUAACACGUGGGUAAUCUGCCUCGUAGUCUGGGAUAACAGGCCGAAAGGUUUGCUAAUACCGGAUGAGUUCGUGUUUCUGCAUAGGGACACGAAGAAAGGGGAAACCCGCUAUGAGAUGAGCCCGCGUCCCAUUAGCUAGUUGGUGGGGUAAAGGCCUACCAAGGCGACGAUGGGUAGCCGGCCUGAGAGGGUGGACGGCCACACUGGGACUGAGACACGGCCCAGACUCCUACGGGGGGCAGCAGUAGGGAAUCUUCGGCAAUGGGCGAAAGCCUGACCGAGCGACGCCGCGUGAGGGACGAAGGCCUUCGGGUUGUAAACCUCUGUCUGGGGGGACGAGAACGGACGGUACCCCCGGAGGAAGCCCCGGCUAACUACGUG